rnacentral:sRNA from 2 species
CGUUCUUUUUUAUCCCCUGCCAAUUUGUUGGACACAGCUUCUGAGUCAUCCCGAAUAUCUGCUGCUUCUGAGAUACCUUGUGAUUACGCUGUAGUAGUUUCAAUGAUUCAGUGAAUACAUGCUGCGAGAGAGGAAAAGGCAUCAGCACUGAUAGAAUUGCUCCAUAGAUGGAUUUUGCAAAUGGCUUUCCCGAGGUCGCAGUAAUGGCUUCAUCAGCAAACCUUCUUCAUAGUCGAUAUUGUUAGCCUUCCUGAUCCUUCGCUUGUCAGAUACCCAGCUACUCUCUGCAACCUCAUCGUUCAUGUCUCCGCCAUCGAAAUGUUUCGAGAUGAUACUAAUAUCCGAGUAUCCCCAGUCCAGGGAUCACCUCGGCCGGCUAUUGUAACGUACAGGGACCUUGCCAUGACUAUUCGGAAAUUGAGGUCAAGGAUUCACGAUUUUCAAUGGAAUAUACCGUUGUGGCCAAAGCGGGGUUUACACCGAUGAAAAAUGAAGCAGUGAAGAUAAGAAUUGGAUUGCCCACAUUCCAGAUGGGAGGCAGUAAGUUGUUUGCUAAUCAAAGAGAGCUUUGUUCAACCCAUAGAAUAUGAAUUCUUUGGCAUUGUUUCUUGGAUUUCUGUCCCUUGUGAUGGGACAGACUAACUUGUUAUAUGAUCCUGCAAAAUUCCCAAACAUUCCAAGUUAUGGACCACAGCCCAACCCUCCAUACAUGGUGGACAACCAACACAACUACUUCAAAACUGCACCAGACAAAGGAGCACAAAAUGGCCCAGUAUGGCUUGAGUCUGGUAGUUUGGAGGCCUACAUAUCACAACACUUAAAACAACUUAAUCGCACCUCUGUUGAUGCUUCCGAGAACUUAAACAAAGUUGCUGGAAGUGCUCCAAACACUACUGCUGAUAGUAGCUACUGGUUGCCGAAGCUUGCUCAUUUGGGAGUUCAACCCCUUGCUGGAGCUGAUUACAAGUUUUACCGAGAUGUUGUGGAGUAUGGUGCUGAUAAUACAGGUGAGAAAGAUGCAACAGAGGCAAUAAAUGCAGCAAUUGGAGAUGGUGACCGAUGCGGAUUGGAAUGUGGAAAUACAUUCACAAAAGGUGCUAUCAUCUAUUUUCCUCCAGGAACAUAUAAAAUCUGCCGCCCUAUCAUUCAGCUAUACUAUACUCAGUUCAUUGGUGAUGCUUUGGACCCGCCUACAAUCAAAGGGUGUGAUACCUUUCAAGGCAUUGCCCUUUUUGAUACAGAUCCAUAUAUUCCUAAUGGUAAUGGUCAAAAUUGGUACAUCAACCAGAAUCAGUUCUUCCGUCAAAUUCGGAAUUUUAUUUUUGAUCUAACUGAGAUGCCUCUCUCAACAGCUGACCAUGAUCAGCUGCUUGUACCAACAGGUAUCCAUUGGCAGGUUUCUCAGGCUUGCUCAUUGCAAAAUUUGGUCUUCAACAUGCCUAAAGCAACUGACAGUAACAAAGUCACUCAUGUUGGCAUUUUCAUGGAAAAUGGUAGUGGGGGAUUUGUCUCUGACUUGGUAUUCAAUGGGGGAAAUAUUGGCUGGCGUGCUGGCUCCCAGCAGUAUACAGCAAUGAAUCUCAAAUUCAAUGGCUGCCUCACUGCAGUUCAAAUGAUUUGGGACUGGGGAUUCAAUUGGCAACGUAUUGAGGUUGAUGGUGGAGCCAUUGCCUUCAAUAUUAGUGGCAGGGGUGGUGACACUGGCCAGGGUGUAGGCUCGGUUUCUAUCAUUGAUUCGGUGAUAUCCAAUUGCCCAAUUGCUAUCUUGACCAACUCUCAGAAAGAUGGGAUCAAUGGGCCCCCUAACAUUGUCAUUGACAAUUUGAAGAUGAAUGAUGUUGGAACAACAGUUAAGAGUGAGAAUGGUGAUGUCAUUCUUGAUGGCACUAAUCAUGUCAGCCUCUGGGCAAUGGGACGUCGCUAUGAUGGAUACAAUGGAACUUAUAUUUCAGGUGAAGUUGAUGCACCUAAAAAAGGAAAGCGCCUGCUGGAUGAAGAUGGCAAGCUCUUCUAUCGACCUCGCCCUCAAUACAAGGACCUCAAGGUAGACGAAUUUUUGAUUGCUACUGAACAUGACUGCAAGAAUGAUGGAACUGGGGAUAAUACAGGAGACAUUAAUGCUUUUCUUGAGAAGGCCAAAAAGGAACACAAAAUUGCAUACUUUCCAGCAGGUGUCUACAGAGUUGGUGGCACUGUAUUCAUUCCAACAGGCUCCAGAGUGCAAGGUGCGAGUUGGUCACAGAUACAAGGAGCUGGGUUCUACUUCAAUGAUAUUCAUAAUCCACGUGUGGUAGUGCAAGUUGGUGAGAAAGGUGAUGUAGGUGACAUGGAGAUAGUUGAUAUGAUGUUCACUGCUCAAGGAGCUACAGCUGGCGCCAUACUUGUUGAGUGGAACGUGCAUGAGGACAGUCAAGGGUCCGCUGCUAUGUGGGACUCACAUAUUCGUGUGGGAGGAGCUUCUGGUACAGAUCUAGAUAUACAGACUUGCCCAAAGUUUGAGUUUAGUGACGCUUGUAUUUGUGCUUCACUCUUGUUCCACAUCACUCCCCAAGCCUCAGGGUAUUUUGAGAAUAUUUGGAUAUGGCUUGCAGAUCAUGACAAUGACAAGAGUGUCUACGAUUCCCCUGAUAAGAUUGCGAAUCAAAUUAGUCUAUACGCUGCUCGUGGAACACUGAUAGAGUCUGAGGGGCCCUCCUGGUUCUAUGGUACUGGCUCUGAACACACUGUUAUGUAUCAAUAUCAAGUAUAUGGAGCAAAAGAUAUAUAUCUCGGCCAUAUUCAAACAGAGACUCCAUAUUACCAGCCAGUUCCUAUAGCACCUUUACCAUUUUCCUUUACCAAGGAAUUUCCUGGUGAUCCAUCUUUUGAGAAGUGUAAGAUCACUGGUUGUUCUGCAGCGUGGGGUCUGCGCAUUAUCAACUCAGAGGGUAUCACACUUCACAGUUCAGGAUUAUACAGCUUUUUCCAGGAGUAUUACCAGGACUGUGUUCCAACACACAAUUGUCAAGAACAUAUUCUUGAAGUUAAAGGAAGUAAAGAUGUUGCACUUUUCAACACUUUCACUGUUGGAAUUGUGGAAAUUGGAACUGGAAUAAAUCAUGGUGCCAUUUUUCAGAAUGAUUCAAAUCAAAGUGGAUUUACAACCGAGAUUAGUGUUUGGAUUCCUUUGGAAGGAGAUGAUGAAUAUGAUAUUGUUUAUGUUGGGCCUGAAGUCUAUAAUAAGCCAUCACUUACAUGCCCAGCUGAUUGCAUUCUUGUGUUUCCUACAAGCUUGCUCUCUUCAAAAACAACAAUUGACCCAGGUAAAUAUACAACCACUGUUGAGUAUGGGCACCGCAGCACAACAACCAUCAGUGGACGUGAAGUGCCCACAUUCUAUACAACUGUCACUACAAUCACAUUGACUAUAGACCCAAUCACCACAGAUGGAAUGCCCUACUCAAAUAUCAAUAUCACUGAAGGACAGACAAGUACUUCUCUCACUGUACUGCCUAGUGUUGAUAUUCCACCCAUUCCUGUACCAAUCUCAGAUGGAGAAGGGAAGACAACCACUCGCAAUAUCACAGUUCCACCAUGGCCAGCUAUUACCAGAGGACCACCAGAGAGCUGGAGCAAUCCUGAUGCAUCCUCUACAGAUGGUAUAAAGGAAGGAGUUUACCACACUCCUUUUGUGACCAGUGUUGUUGCCACUAAACCCACUGUUUCAACACUUUCAUUUCCAUCAACUGUCAGUCCAAUUGUGGUGAAAUGUCCACCCAACUCAAGAGUCCCUUUCAAUACUCCAAAAACAACACCUAUAAUCAACUGUAUAGUUCCCACAACAGUAUCUGUUGGUUUCACUUGUCCUGCAACAAAAGUUGUUACAUUUAUUGGUUCCUCUACUGGUGUUUUCACAGUUGACUGCACUGUCUCAACAAUAUUCACCAAGCCAGAUCAAACAAUCACUUCAGAGCCCACAAAUAAACCAACAACUACCCAGUCACUUCCAGUAUGGUCAACAUGGCCACCUCGAGUGGUCACACCAAUUGAAGAAGAGGUCAAAAAGCCAGAGCCAGGUAAAACAUCAUGCAAACUCUGGUUUUUCUCUUUCUGUCUAAAUGGGGAGAACAAAGGCUUACGCUGGAAUCUCCCACCGGGUAUAUACCCACCAGGCCCACCACCCCCGGGCGCAAUAGAUCCUCCCCCAUCAUGGACGAUAAAACCUCCUCUCCCACCUUGGCCUCCAAUCACUGUUGGGCGAGAUAAUAUUUUAACAUACCCCAAGGAGGAACCUACUAAAUGCGAGAAAAAAUCUGCAGAAAUAUGCAUGACAACUGUAUUUAAGACUACAACCACUCAUGGAACAAUUACCUCCACAGCCUCAUCCAUCAGUUCAACAUGUGAUACAAUUCGUGGGUGUUCAGCAUCAGAUUGGGAUACAACAACCACACAAACCAAACCAGAUCACUGUCCAUCACCCACAACCAAUCCAGUGAAGGGCACUGCAUCUGUCAUACCACCCCCAGGCUGCCCUGCAAAUGCCAUUGUUUAUCCAUCAAAUAUGAAAGAUGCGGGGCAAAUUCCUCAGAUCCUUGAUAAAUACAAGGGAAAAUAUGUUGAGGUCAAAUCAAAUGAGCUUCAGCAGGUAGCAUUCAUCUGGGUUCCUUUGUUGGAUCAAGAGACCAUGAACGCCUUGUUAAAAUCUCCCGAUGUUGCAGACGCUUAUUACUACGAAAGCUGGUAUGCUAAUACAAACCAGAGAGGCUCUGACUCAGACCGCAGAACAAAACGUGAUAAUAACCCCUCUGAACCUAUAUUUCCUUAUAAACAGGGGAAUAUCAAUCAUUCGACCAGCAAUAGAGCAGUUCUGGAUGAGCAUAACACAAAUCAAUCCGCACAGUCAACUUCAAAGACACGAUCGAACCCGUAUAUUUGGGACCUCUCCCAGAUCUCCACUCCGAAAAAUGCGGUUUGGAACUUACCGGACGGCUCUACUGUAGAUGGAAAUGGCUUUUUUAAGUUCAACUUUGAUGAAACUUCAGGAAGAGGCCAACAUAUAUAUAUGCUGGAGGACGGCUUCUACCCCAAUCACCCUGAAUUUAGAGGUAUGGACAUUGAAGUUUUGACGCCAGAUAGAGAGAGCCAGCCGUGGGCUCCCGAGAUAAUCCUUAGGCCUAAUUACCUUCACGGGGCUCAGGUAGGUUCCAAGAUUGUUGGGGCCAAUUUGGGCCUUUGCGACAAUUGCAAACUCCAUGUGUCACCUAUAUUUCUAAAUGAUGAGUUGUGGGUUGAACGAUUAAUCGAGCAGUUGAUGGUCAUUCAGAACCAUGUGUCGCGUAACGGUUUCCAGCACAAAGCAACCAUUAACAUGAGCUUCGGCCUCGACUCACGUAUGAGACAUGCGUCUGUGAGAAGAUUUUAUGAACUACUCGCGACUCUCGAUACUUGGGGUGUUUCUAUGGUUUGCGCGGCUGGCAAUAAUGCAGUGACUGUUUCGGGUAUCAUCCAGUACCCUGCUCUCUUCGCCGAUCCUAGCAAUACAUUUUACAUAAAAAAUAUUAUUGUCGUUGGGGCGACAGAUCCAGACGGCAAUCAGGGAUUAUUCAGUCAGUACGAGCCCUGGAUAACUACUUUUGCCCCUGGAGAGAAUUCAUGGCUUCCGGAAACGCCUACAGGCGGCUACAACCGCUUGUACGGAACCUCCUUAUCUACCGCUCUCGUAUCUAGUUUAAUCGGAUAUUAUAAAUCGAUUCAGUCACCCUGGAAAGACCAAUUGAGGGAUCCUGCCAACGUGAAGAAAAUGAUCAAGAUUUUUCAUCGUCGCAUUGAAGUCGACGGCAAACAAUUUGAAUGGGUAGGGGCGAAACCUAUCAUCUGGAAUGGGCAGAUGAGUACACGUUCCUGUCUAGCUGACUAUGAUACAAUUGACGAAUGGGACCUGUCAAAAAGGUGCCCAAGAAUCAAAGCAAACCUUGCGGAGGAAACAAAUGAGGGAGAAACCUUGGAGCCUUGUCAACCCGGAACUGGUAACCCGCUCAAGCAGCUCGACGGUUCUUAUUGCCCGCGCAUGCCCGGCGCCGGCAGCCAUACUGUUAGCUUCACCAGUAAAGCUGGAGUGAAGCCAACUCCCACAUGUGCAUCCGGAACCGGCUGUGGCGGCCACUUAUGCACAGGCUUUUUCUGUUCACCAAUGCCAACAGGAGUGCCCCCAGAUCGCCACGACCCAAAGGACCCAAAUGCAAGCAGUCGAGUACCAACAACCACCGGGCCCGGUGACCCGGAACCCACAUGCAAUGACAAAUGCAAGCUGGACAAGGGCAAUCCAUGCAAGUGCAAUGAAAACGGUUGUGACUCUGAAUCGCCUGGCUGCUGUGGCAAUGCCAGUUGUCCAAUGUGUGACUGUGGGGACAACAGCUGCUCCCCCAGCUCACCAGCCUGUUGCAAGACUGAAACAUGUCAAUGGUCAUGGACUGGUGGCGGCGGAGGUGACGGAAGCGGGAAACCUCCAGGGCCCCGUAUUGGUAGCUUGCUCUUUGCCUUGGACGAAACCUACCGCUCGUACCCUGGGGGUGACGUGUUGACCCGCUUCUGGAAAGUGUUCGUUUCAGAACUCGAUAGAGAGGCAGAUGUGUGCAAUGACACGCCUCUUAAACUUGUAGACGCGUCCUCAGACCCAGAGAAUAGACCUCAUUACCCUCCGUCAAUGGAAUUUACCGUCGGGCCGGGGCAUAUGUGCAAAUACACAGAAGACUCAAAUGGGGCUGGCAUUCUGAAAUGCGAUGGGUCCAAACACUCUCCUUGCAAGGCCAGAGGUCUAGAUGACAAGAAAACUUGUUUAGUACCAGUGCCGGGCUCAACCCCGUCAACCUACUACCUGGCUGUGGAUUGUAAGUUCUAGGUGGCGGGUGGCCAAGUACGAACAAUGGCUAGGGAAGGAAAUGAAGACCCUCAUCUAGCAAGAUAGCAAGAGAAGAUGUAGUUUUGUAAAUCUUUUGAAAAUGAAAUUAAAUGAAUGGCUUUCUGGAUG